UACGAAGGGGGCUAGGCGUUGCUCGGAAUCACUGGGCGUAAAGGCGCACGUAGGCCGCUUGCUAAGUCAGGGGUGAAAGUCCUGGAGCUCAACUCCAGAACUGCCUUUGAUACUGGCGAUCUCGAGUCCGGGAGAGGUGAGUGGAAUUCCUGGUGUAGCGGUGGAAUGCGCAGAUAUCAGGAGGAACACCAAUAGCGAAGGCAGCUCGCUGGGACGUUACUGACACUGAGGCGCGAAAGCGUGGGGAGCGAACAGG
rnacentral:rRNA from 1 species